AUUGAACGCUGGCGGCAGGCCUAACACAUGCAAGUCGAGCGGAUGAGUGGAGCUUGCUCCAUGAUUCAGCGGCGGACGGGUGAGUAAUGCCUAGGAAUCUGCCUGGUAGUGGGGGACAACGUUUCGAAAGGAACGCUAAUACCGCAUACGUCCUACGGGAGAAAGCAGGGGACCUUCGGGCCUUGCGCUAUCAGAUGAGCCUAGGUCGGAUUAGCUAGUAGGUGAGGUAAAGGCUCACCUAGGCGACGAUCCGUAACUGGUCUGAGAGGAUGAUCAGUCACACUGGAACUGAGACACGGUCCAGACUCCUACAGGAGGCAGCAGUGGGGAAUAGUGGACAAUGGGCGAAAGCCUGAUCCAGCCAUGCCGCGUGUGUGAAGAAGGUCUUCGGAUUGUAAAGCACUUUAAGUUGGGAGGAAGGGCAGUAAGCUAAUACCUUGCUGUUUUGACGUUACCAACAGAAUAAGCACCGGCUAACUUCGUGCCAGCCGCCGCGGUAAAAC
rnacentral:rRNA from 1 species